rnacentral:lncRNA from 1 species
AAAUUUGACAUUGUUUGACAAGGUUCCAUAUCACAAAGGGAAGGCUUGGAUUGAGUUGGGGAUAAUUACCCAAAACAUUCAGGAAAUGGGCGCAAAAAGGAGCCAAAAACAAGCAUUUUUCCGACAAUAACUGAUGUUUAAGUGUAUGAAUCUCUCUGAAGUUGUUCUACAAGGGACCAUUCUAAAAAGGAAAGACUGGGAUUGAGUGAAUGUUAAUGUUCUCGGGGUGGAUGGGGUCCCAAUUUUUUUUAAGGAGUUCAUAUUUUUUUAUUUAUUUUUUUCAGAUUUCAAAGAUCUUCAAAUUUUUGAACAAGUUUCAAGAAGAAUCUUCAAUUGCGCAUUAGAUCUGUAAACUCUUUGACAACAUUAGUUUUGUGUCAGAAAUUUGGAUAGUAUCAUAUGUGUCCAAAUUUGCCCCAAAUGUUCAGGGAUCGACCACUGCGGUCGUUUCAGUUUGUUGCUCAGCGAAGCAUUUCAUUUUCUUCCUGCAUGCACAGGGAUUACUAUCCAUAAAAAGAAAGACAUUUGUAUGAAGCAUUAUAUUUCAGGUGGUAGACCUUGAUGCUUCAUCAUACCUUAUAUAUAGAGUUAACUUGUAUUAUGAAGUUUUAACCUAAAAUUUGUCCAUCGUCCUUGACCUCAUAGUCGUGUUAGAAGGUUAGAAAGCCUGUAUGCUUCAUACUUUGUAUCCUAUACGAUAAAUCAGAGAGUGCUUUAGACAUGCACAUGUAUAUAAAGCUUUCUGUUUGUACUAUUGGUUUUAUGCAUAUCAGCCUAGGCAUCAUUUUGGAUUAAACUACGUUAUUCUCAGUAAAAUAUACGAGAAAUUACAAAUGACAGCUAUAUUUUACUGUGAAAUUCUGAUCCCUAUAUUCAAAAAUCAAGACUUCUCCGUUAAGUGUGAGAGUAUUUCUGUGGCUCAAUUGUCAAAUCCGACCUUUAGAAACCUCUUUCUAAAUUAUCAGCAUCAAUUAUAUUGGCAAUCAAAGUCGGGCUUUAGAGUUAUUGUAAAACUAUACUUAUUCUAGAUGCAUGCAGCGUGAAUCAGAUAUGGAUAUUGGAAAAAAAACCAACAACAUGUAGAGUACGUUUGAUUUAAGGCAUUUUCAUCUUGCAUUAGUAUUACAACAUUUGACUUAUCUACACUAUACACAACUAUUCCCCAUCAUUUACAACUAAAAGAAAAAUCGAAUUAAUUUGUCCUGCUUUCUAUCAUAAAAAUCACUGAUUCAAACAAAGAAUUCUCCGAAACUGACAUUAUCAAAAUGCUUGAUUUCUUGAUUGAUAACAUAUUUGUUACGUUUGGAGGCCGUUUUUUCCCCAACAAACAAUCGGUAUUACCAUUGCAACCAACUAUGUUCCUCAUCUUGCCGACUUGUUCAUUUAUUCACAUGAGGCUGACUUCUAUCAUCUAGAAACUGACAAUGAUGGUCGGCGGAAAGAAAACUAUGCGACAACAGAAAAAAUUUCAGCUUUCCAAUUGUGAACUUCUCAUUCCUAUGUAGCAACACUCCAGCAGCGUUCUUAUUGAUAUAAUUCCCAGUUAAUACGGUAUUACGAAGGCUUACGUUUCCUUUUAAAAUGUUCUUUAUUUAGUAGUUUGUUAUUUUGUAUACUGCUGUUUAUCAUUUUGUCAUUUUUUUCCAAUAUUAUCAGUUUAUUUUGAGACUUGUGAGUUUGCAUGCCCCUUUGUUAUAUGUCGCCCUUCUUUUACGGCUUAUAUCAUAUGUGUUCAUUUAAGUUACAUUCUGAAAAAUAUUGAAAUAUAGUUUUACGAAAUCUUGAUUAUAUCAAUUAUCCUUUAUUCUGUAUAAAACAAUAAAAUCAAAGGCACAAAUACUUUUUUAGAAGUUUGUUUUAUUAGCUGUAUUUGUCAAAACUUUAAGAAAUUUUUG